rnacentral:rRNA from 1 species
AGAAUUUGAUCCUGGCUCAGAUUGAACGCUGGCGGCAGGCCUAACACAUGCAAGUCGAACGGUAACAGGAAGCAGCUUGCUGCUUCGCUGACGAGUGGCGGACGGGUGAGUAAUGUCUGGGAAGCUGCCUGAUGGAGGGGGAUAACUACUGGAAACGGUAGCUAAUACCGCAUAAUGUCGCAAGACCAAAGAGGGGGACCUUCGGGCCUCUUGCCAUCGGAUGUGCCCAGAUGGGAUUAGCUUGUUGGUGGGGUAACGGCUCACCAAGGCGACGAUCCCUAGCUGGUCUGAGAGGAUGACCAGCCACACUGGAACUGAGACACGGUCCAGACUCCUACGGGAGGCAGCAGUGGGGAAUAUUGCACAAUGGGCGCAAGCCUGAUGCAGCCAUGCCGCGUGUAUGAAGAAGGCCUUCGGGUUGUAAAGUACUUUCAGCGGGGAGGAAGGGAGUAAAGUUAAUACCUUUGCUCAUUGACGUUACCCGCAGAAGAAGCACCGGCUAACUCCGUGCCAGCAGCCGCGGUAAUACGGAGGGUGCAAGCGUUAAUCGGAAUUACUGGGCGUAAAGCGCACGCAGGCGGUUUGUUAAGUCAGAUGUGAAAUCCCCGGGCUCAACCUGGGAACUGCAUCUGAUACUGGCAAGCUUGAGUCUCGUAGAGGGGGGUAGAAUUCCAGGUGUAGCGGUGAAAUGCGUAGAGAUCUGGAGGAAUACCGGUGGCGAAGGCGGCCCCCUGGACGAAGACUGACGCUCAGGUGCGAAAGCGUGGNGGAGCAAACGGGAUUAGAUACCCUGGUAGUCCACGCCGUAAACGAUGUCGACUUGGAGGUUGUGCCCUUGAGGCGUGGCUUCCGGAGCUAACGCGUUAAGUCGACCGCCUGGGGAGUACGGCCGCAAGGUUAAAACUCAAAUGAAUUGACGGGGGCCCGCACAAGCGGUGGAGCAUGUGGUUUAAUUCGAUGCAACGCGAAGAACCUUACCUGGUCUUGACAUCCACGGAAGUUUUCAGAGAUGAGAAUGUGCCUUCGGGAACCGUGAGACAGGUGCUGCAUGGCUGUCGUCAGCUCGUGUUGUGAAAUGUUGGGUUAAGUCCCGCAACGAGCGCAACCCUUAUCCUUUGUUGCCAGCGGUCCGGCCGGGAACUCAAAGGAGACUGCCAGUGAUAAACUGGAGGAAGGUGGGGAUGACGUCAAGUCAUCAUGGCCCUUACGACCAGGGCUACACACGUGCUACAAUGGCGCAUACAAAGAGAAGCGACCUCGCGAGAGCAAGCGGACCUCAUAAAGUGCGUCGUAGUCCGGAUUGGAGUCUGCAACUCGACUCCAUGAAGUCGGAAUCGCUAGUAAUCGUGGAUCAGAAUGCCACGGUGAAUACGUUCCCGGGCCUUGUACACACCGCCCGUCACACCAUGGGAGUGGGUUGCAAAAGAAGUAGGUAGCUUAACCUUCGGGAGGGCGCUUACCACUUUGUGAUUCAUGACUGGGGUGAAGUCGUAACAAGGUAGCCGU